AGAUUCUUUGGCAUGCGCAGUGUGUGCUAUUCUCCACAUGGCGAAACACUUUCAGUUUCAAUCCCCUAUAUAGACACUUGACCAAAAAUAACUGCAGUAACAAUCACACAAAUGAUAAGCGUACCUGCCACUUUUUAUUGGCUUCUGCAAUACCAAGUGUGUGGCAUAUUAGCACAAUAAAAUUUUAGUUGUUGUAAUUUGAAUUUCAAGUAUUUUUGGGAUACUUUCAUGAAUCCAAAUCCACAAAUAUAUGCACAGACACAUAUAAAACAAUAACAAACACACAUAAACAAGAGAGAGAUUUUAGUAUUAGUUUGGAAUUUGGGUGCAAUAUAACAGUGGAGGCCCUUGCAGUUUUUUUGUUUGUGAAAGCUUCCGUGUGAAUGAGACGCGGGAACUAUGGGCAGCAACUAAGGGGCACUUUCUGGAAAUUAUGAAAGUUUUGCGAUUCGUGAACAAUUUGUCUGCAGGUUUACGUCUUCUUUUCAACUUCAUGUUUGUCGAAAAACACUUUUCACAACUUUCAGUAACGGAAAAUGAACACCCCCACAAAAUAUCAGACACGCACAAUCUCCUUGCCUCAUCCACUCACUAACAAGGGACAUCCGUGCGGCCCCUGACCAUCCUUGUCUAUUUUACUCGCUUUACUUCUACACUUUGGACUACUUUCAUAAAUGAAAGAAAAGGAAAA
rnacentral:sRNA from 1 species